UAYGUUGACCUAUUCCCUUGAGAUCAGCAAGACUAAAAUCAAACAAAUGAGAGAUGACAAUAAGAGAAAGUUGGUGGUUACAUAGUUCCCCCCACCUGAGUAUUAACCGCUGUGUGUUUGUGUUUGAGCGAGAGUCCAUGUGCACCUGUGGUUGUGUGACUGCAUGAUAGGUUCCAAGAAGUGCAUUCACAUGAUGUUUCUGUGAAUCUCUGAGGUAGAAGCCACUUCCUAGCUCUAGGACAGAAGUAGGGCAGGGCCCCUAAAAGGCGGGGGUAUCCUACAUCUUCUGACUCACUCCUGUGCCUCUGUUUGGUUAGGACUGGGGAUUCUCAAAUCAAAUGGGGGAAAAUCCAGGUGAGGUUUUACACAUCAAGAAAACAACCUCCAGCAUUGUCUUGUCAACCUAAAGAGUUUAACUUAAAAUCACACUUCAGCGAACCUGAAACCCCUCAUUGUGAAACGAAGUGAAGAGGAGCACCUUGGGUUUAUCAUCUCUAAGAAGCUAUGGAUUGGAGUCAGGUGUUGCAGUUCUUGCUCUUCUCACUCCUCUGUCUCAUUGGCAGCUCCAAGGCAGUAGGAGAGCUCUYUGUGGACAAAGGACGAGAGACUGAGCGGGUCUUUUCAGUUUCCGGUGAUGCUGCCAUGUUGACGUCCACCCUGGUGGACCUCAACAUGUUUGACAACCGCAGCAUCCCCUYUAACAUCUCAUGGUAUGACCCAAGGACUGGGACAGAGCUGACCAGGGAGACAGGAAAGACUCUGGUGCGGGGGAAGACACUCUGGAUUUUUAACAUCACGAUGGAGGAUGCUGGAGACUAUGUGUGUGU